UGCCCCCCGAGGCUAAUAUGGGGGGUAUGGUCUGCCCAAUGAUUAUUUGAAUGGCCGCGGUAUUUUGACUGUGCUAAGGUAGCAUAAUCAAUUGUCUUUUAAUUGGAGUCUGGUAUGAAUGAUUAAAUGAAAGGAAUUCUGUUUUUUUGGUAAUUUUGAAUUUUUAUGGUAGGUGAAGAUACUUAUAUACUUAUAAAAGACGAGAAGACCCUAUAAAGUUUUAUAUUAUGGUUUUAUUUUAAAAAUAACUAGUAUUUGAUUGGGGCAAUUGAAGAAUAUAUUAAUUUCUGCUUAUAUAAAUAAUUUUAUUAAAUUUACUAAUGAUCCAAGGUUUUGAUUAAAAGAAUAAAUUACUUUAGGGAUAACAGCGUAAUAUAUUUUUAGAGUUCAUAUCGAUGAAUAUGAUUGCGACCUCGAUGUUGGAUUAAGAUACCUUUUUGGUGCAGGCGCUUAAAGGGGUAGUCUGUNCGACUA
rnacentral:rRNA from 1 species